GGGGCAUCAUCUGAGAAUGAUGGCGAUUCCCAGAAAUAUGAUGAAUUUGGAGGUUCAUAGGUCUGAGACAGUGAAGCCUUUUGUGUGUGUGUUUGUGUGUGUGUGUUUGUGUGUAUUUGUAAAUGGUGAAUGUAAUAUAAAAUCGCGCCUUAUCACCUGUCUAGAAAGUGUAUCAUGUAUUUGUAUAAAGCUUUAGAGAGUGGUUUAGACUCUAGUUUCUCAGUAUAGAUUUUUCAGUGCUCAGUCAAAGGGAACUGUUCUUAAUCUAAAUGCACGUGUAGCACGGUUGUCAUGCUUUGGUGAUCACAGAGCCCGACGGGGAACUCUAGCCGUUCUAUGGUCUCUAAUCUGAUUAGCCAACCAGGGUAGUUAAAACGUAAGAAAGGAGGAGGGACCUCCUCCCACCUAGGGUCUGAUGGUCCUCCACCAGUAACUGUCAUGAUCUUCUGGUCCUAACACACAGGCUGGGUCCACAGAACUGGUAGAACCCAGAUGGAUUUGCCAGUACAUCUGCAUGAGUAACCAAAAUCCAAACCACAGUAGACGAUGUGACACAAGCCCAGGUAGGUGUUCCUGAAUCCCACAUACCCUUUCCAGAUGGUACAUGCCUGAUGAGUGUUUGAUUCUUACAGACACAGUGACUGUAAUUCUGGAGAGUCCACUGGUUGCUUCCGGGGGGCUGGUUUUCCAGGAGAAAAAGAGAUGGUCUUAUUUCCUAGUUGGGUUAAACUUUGUGCGGAAGAGACAGUUCAGCAAGUGAUUGCAAACCACCUUAAUUAUUUUCAUCUCCGAGGUAAGAAAUUCUGCCUUUAUUACUGUGACUUAGGUGUAAUUAUGCAGCUAAGCAUGCUGAUAUCAAUGUGAAUCACCCAGAUUUCACAGAGCUAGUCUCUCUGCAGUUUUUAAUGAUGUAAACAGGGUACUUAUUUAGGAUUUUGGCUUAAUGUUUGGAAAUGUCUAUUAAAUAACAUCUGGUAUUAAGCCGGAGCUGUUUAUGGCAAUAUGCAGACAGAUACAAAUAGUGAACAAUUGAAGUCCAUUAAAUGAGAAAUGCAAGGGAAAAAAUCUGAAUAUAGAAGAACACAUCAACUAAAGAAGAAUUUAAUAGAUCAUAUGGGUUGUGUGUACUUUUACUUGCAGAUCAUAAUAAGCCCGGUCCUUAGAAAUUCCUGUUUACUAGGACAUCAUAAACACAUUGAGCGAUCAGCUCAUGGCCUUGAUGUUCGAUGAGCACAUUGCCAGAAAAAGAAUGUGUCCUGGAUAGUAUAUCCGAUGCACCUCCAACCAUCAAAGAGUCGUGGUUGUAUGUUUCAUUUGUGCCUUGUUUUGGGAUGUUGAGAGCAAUAUUCACAGGUUCUGGUGAAACCUGACUCUACUUCAAGACUUGGGUCUUUACCACUGACCACCACAUAAUGAUUCAAGGAGAUUAUGUCUUUGUGGAUAAUAAUGUUGUUUUAUUGACCAACGCCGGGAAAUUCUCUUUUCAUCUGUCCAUCCCGGCCUCAGUCACAGACACAUAUGUAGGUGAGAGCAAGCUUGGUGUCCACUUGCAGUACCCCUGGAGCUGGGGGUCAAGGGCCUUACUCAAGGGCCCACAGACGUGACUAUCCCCCCAAGGCCUGGCUUGACCCAGCAAUCUUCCAAUCAGAGGCAGAGAGGCUUAGGCUGCUGAGUCACACGCUGCUCCAGAAGAUCUGCAAGAUCUUUAAUGGCAGCCUUGUCUUUGAAGUACAGCCUGACGCUGGAAGUUUACACAGAAUUGAAAGGCGUGAAAGAGCAACAGGUGGAGUGUGAUUCCUAGUGUAGAAACAGCUCCUCCAUCACCAGGACCUGUGUUGGUUUAUGCCUCAGUGUGUCAGGAGACUGUGUGGGAGGCCUUCGAGAUCUUUGGGGAUCGGCUUCCAAAGCGUGAUGAGUACCAGGGUUGGCUAAUGCUGUGCCGGAAUGGUGUUGCCAACAUUCUUGAGAUUGGCAGCAGUUUCAGCCAAUCAGAGGAACAUCAGUCUCAGCAACUGUUUGUUUUCGUUCUUUUGGUUAUACCGCCUCUUAGAUUCAUGGAAGUCAGCCAUUGGACAGCACAAGCACAAAUGAUUAUUGAGAUUGUAUUUAUAAUGUCUUCCAAGUGUGACAUUCUGUAGCUAAAUGGUGUCUAUUCUGUUUAUUGCGAAUGUCAAUGGCUGAAUUACACAGGUCACAUCAUUUUAAUACCAUAAAUAUGUGCAACCCCUAGUCAUUGAGAGAUUGACGGCACCCUGAUUAGCUUUUGUUAUAACAGAAUCGGUUCAGUGAAGCGAUUGUUUUAUAUACUUAACCUCAUGCCCUGGUACAAACCACACCUUUGUAUUCAACCAUUCUCUCUGAAAAUGUAGACAUUUACGUACAGGAUUCUUUUUGUCCCUGUCCCCAGCGAACCCGCUAGUUCUUGGCUGCAUCUGUGCAGGUACAUUCUAGUAUAUGGACAGCAAUAUAUAUUUCUAUGCCCUUAGUAUGGCCCACCUACUCAGAACACCCUGUGGAUCUCCUGUACCUGCUAGGAACCAUGGUCAGACUUACCUUUGCCAACCUUCUAGUGUACUCGCUGUUGGUGAUGUCACCUCUUUGAAAUAGACCCAUCCGUGACAGGACAUUCUUGAUCACAUGCUUGUCAGGUAAGUGGGAAUGGCAAAUUAUACCCAAUGACUUCGUAAUUUAAUAACUUGGGUUAUCAUUUUUUAGCCCUGGGGCUGCAGUUUCCCAUUCUUAGGAGGCCACAUCCACACCCCAGGAAGGUCUGUCUGGCUGACAACUCUAUCGGAUUGCUUAUUAAAACUGUGGAAGAUCUCUUUAAUGCUUGUGUGACAUUCCACCGUUUAGGUGGUGAAGAUGUAGGGAAGCAUGACAGCCCAUUGGCAAAAUAAAGAGAAAAAAAAUUGUUGAUUACAUUUGUUUUAUAUUUCCUUAGCUAACACGACAUUCUGCUGACUUGCUCAGAUGUUUCCCCAGUCUUCUUGCUUAUUGCUUGGCAGCUAAGCCAUCAUGCUCUUGUAUGAAUCUCAACAUCCUAGAGAAAGUCCAUCCUGGUGUUUAUCAUUGGGGCUGCAGGAGGUUCUGGAGCUGAAUUUUUUAGUUGAUGUGUGAAGUCUCUCAUUUUGGGUUUUGUUUUCGGCAGCUGAAGAAAUGGAUGCCCUUCUGCCUGAGAUGCUUGUGCUAAGUGCUACUCCUGAGCCAAUGAUUAUGGUGACUAUUACCCCUGGGGAGGUGAGGUGACGGCGGGGGACUCAGCUGCUGCUCACUGCCUGGACCACUGAGGAAAUGUCACUCAUUGUACCAUACUCUUACUUACUGAAAGGAAACAUCAGCUCACUGAAAAUGUGUGGAAAUUAGUUAAAGGAAGUCCAGUUGGUUGAUAUAAUAGUUGAUACUUUUAUUGAUCCCUGUGGGGAACUUGUCUUUUUACACCUCCCUCAACUUGCUCUUUGUAGAGUAAGCUGUCUGUGAAGGGCAGCCACCUGUAGGGGUGCCCAGGGGGUGAAGGGCCUUGCUCAAGGACCCACAGACAUGCUGAGGCUGGAUUUGAACCGGUGACCUUCUGAUUACAGGCACACAGGCUUAGCCCACUGUCUUGCACUGUAUGGUAAUUGCAUGCACGGGGAUACUAACUUGUACGGCUUUCCUUACUUUUUUGUGUAGUGGCCAGAGCAGCCCCUGGUGGGUGAGGCUGUGCAUCUCAGUGUCUGGCUGAAGGGGGAAUCCCACAGCGAUCCCUCUAGUGCCCGAUACCCACAAGUGGCCCACAAGUUUACACACAAGUCCCCUUUCGUGGCAGAAGCCUACUCAUGGCCCGACGAGGGGCCCACUGCAUUCUCCACCAUCACUGACUCUCUCAAGGCUUCCAUCAAACCCUCUGCUGCACUGGCCAGUGCUGAAACGGACAAUGUGCAUGCAUCAGAAAAACCCCACAGGUUUGCAGAACAAGAGUUUUGCCUGAAAAACAUUUCCAGUGGCUUCAGCAGGAAUGAGUCCAUGUUGAACCAGCUGUGCCUCGUGGCUUCCUGCGACAGCCACAGGGCGGGCCGGCUGGUGCCGUGUUGGGGAGAACUGGUGAUUCCAUGGGGAACACUGUGAGGAACUUCUACUGAUGGGAAUCUCCAUAACCUCUUUAGCAGGCUUUCUGCUUCUCACAUUGCCAAUCCUCUUUAUCUUGAUAAGGAUGAUGCGUGAUCACAAGGAUGAUCUGGAGGUCCCGGUUUGCAUUGGCGACAGCAUGCUGUCCUCAGAGUGGGACAUUAAGUACAAAGCUAUGUACGAGAGUGAGAGUACUGCCAGGCAGGGCCACUACUACCGGUACCCGGAGACUCCCUGUUCCGGUAGCACAAAUCCUCCGCUGAGACUGCCAAUGAGGAGGUCAACACAUCUACCAGAACGGCGAGCUCACCAAGGAGAAAAGUCAGGAUCGAAUCUGGACGUCGAGCUGCACGCAAAGGACGGCCCACUUUGCAAACUUUGGGCAGCAGCACGAGGUGGUGUGUAAGGUGUUGCACACUUGGACAAGAAAUUCGCCUCUGGAGAGACAGAAAGCAGCCGUCUGGAUGGAUCUUGUGGGCGUGGUGUUUGUAGUGGGAGUCGGGUUGUUGUGUGUUCUGGUGUUUUUUGUCUGCUUUGGGCUUAUCAGCUCCGCAGAUGGUUCACUGUUCCUGGUUAAUUUAUUCGUUAUAUUUAUUACCUCUGUUGCUACCUUUUUCUGAUGUUGUAACUAACACCUGACCGAAUUAUAAGUCUGCAUGUAGUUUAGAGA